rnacentral:rRNA from 1 species
UACGAAGGGGGCGAGCGUUGUUCGGAAUUACUGGGCGUAAAGGGCGCGCAGGCGGCUCUGUAAGUCGGGUGUGAAAUUUCGGAGCUUAACUCCGAAACUGCAUUCGAUACUGCGGUGCUUGAGGACUGGAGAGGAGACUGGAAUUCAUGGUGUAGCAGUGAAAUGCGUAGAGAUCAUGAGGAAGACCAGUGGCGAAGGCGGGUCUCUGGACAGUUCCUGACACUGAGGCACGAAGGCCAGGGGAGCAAACGGG